ACUCCUACGGGAGGCAGCAGUAGGGAAUCUUGCGCAAUGGGCGAAAGCCUGACGCAGCCAUGCCGCGUGAAUGAUGAAGGUCUUAGGAUUGUAAAAUUCUUUCACCGGGGAAGAUAAUGACGGUACCCGGAGAAGAAGCCCCGGCUAACUUCGUGCCAGCAGCCGCGGUAAUACGAAGGGGGCUAGCGUUGCUCGGAAUUACUGGGCGUAAAGGGCGCGUAGGCGGACAGUUUAGUCAGAGGUGAAAGCCCAGGGCUCACCCCCGGAAGUGCAUUGGAAACUGGUAGGCUCGAGUCCCGGAGAGGAGGGUGGAAUUCCUGGUGUAGCGGUGAAAUGCGUAGAUAUCAGGAGGAACACCGGUGGCGAAGGCGGCCCUCUGGACGGUGACUGACGCUGAGACGCGAAAGCGUGGGGAGCAAACAGGAUUAGAUACCCUGGUAGUCCACGCCGUAAACGAUGAGCACUAGGUGUCGCGGGUAUUGACCCCUGCGGUGCCGUAGCUAACGCAUUAAGUGCUCCGCCUGGGGACUACGGCCGCAAGGUUAAAACUCAAAGGAAUUGACG
rnacentral:rRNA from 1 species